rnacentral:rRNA from 1 species
GACGAACGCUGGCGGCGUGCUUAACACAUGCAAGUCGAACGAAGAGCGAUGGAAUCUUGCUUCUAUUAAUCUUAGUGGCGAACGGGUGAGUAACGCGUAAUCAACCUUCCCUUUAGAGGGGGACAACAGUUGGAAACGACUGCUAAUACCGCAUACGAUCUAACCUCGGCAUUGAGGAUAGAUGAAAGGUGGCUUCUACAUGUAAGCUAUCACUGAAGGAGGGGAUUGCGUCUGUUUAGCUAGUUGGAGGGGAAACGGCCCACCAAGGCGAUGAUCAGUAGCCGGACUGAGCGGAUGGACUGCCACAUUGAGACUGAGACACGGCCCAGGCUCCUACGGGAGGCAGCAGUGGGGAAUCUUCCGCAAUGGAAGAAAGUCUGACGGAGCGACGCCGCGUGAGUGAUGACGGCCUUCGGGUUGUAAAGCUCUGUUAUUCGGGACGAAAGGCCUUCUUGCGAAUAGUUAGAAGGAUUGACGGUACCGGAAUAGAAAGCCACGGCUAACUACGUG